ACUGAACGCUGGCGGCAGGCCUAACACAUGCAAGUCGAGCGGUUGACGGGAGCUUGCUCCCUGAUUCAGCGGCGGACGGGUGAGUAAUGCCUAGGAAUCUGCCUAUUAGUGGGGGACAACGUUUCGAAAGGAACGCUAAUACCGCAUACGUCCUACGGGAGAAAGCAGGGGACCUUCGGGCCUUGCGCUAAUAGAUGAGCCUAGGUCGGAUUAGCUUGUUGGUGAGGUAAUGGCUCACCAAGGCGACGAUCCGUAACUGGUCUGAGAGGAUGAUCAGUCACACUGGAACUGAGACACGGUCCAGACUCCUACGGGAGGCAGCAGUGGGGAAUAUUGGACAAUGGGCGAAAGCCUGAUCCAGCCAUGCCGCGUGUGUGAAGAAGGUCUUCGGAUUGUAAAGCACUUUAAGUUGGGAGGAAGGGUUGUAGAUUAAUACUCUGCAAUUUUGACGUUACCGACAGAAUAAGCACCGGCUAACUCUGUGCCAGCAGCCGCAGUAA
rnacentral:rRNA from 1 species